rnacentral:rRNA from 1 species
UACGGAGGGGGGCUAGCGUUGUUCGGAAUUACUGGGCGUAAAGCGCACGUAGGUGGCUUUGCAAGUUAGAGGUGAAAGCCCGGGGCUCAACUCCGGAAUUGCCUUUAAAACUGCAUCGCUAGAAUUGUGGAGAGGUAAGUGGAAUUCCGAGUGUAGAGGUGAAAUUCGUAGAUAUUCGGAAGAACACCAGUGGCGAAGGCGACUUACUGGACACAUAUUGACGCUGAGGUGCGAAAGCGUGGGGAGCAAACAGG